CAGCAGCCACGGUAAAACGUAGGUGGCAAGCGUUGUCCGGAAUUAUUGGGCGUAAGGGGCUCGCAGGCGGUUUCUUAAGUCUGAUGUGAAAGCCCCCGGCUCAACCGGGGAGGGUCAUUGGAAACUGGGAAACUUGAGUGCAGAAGAGGAGAGUGGAAUUCCACGUGUAGCGGUGAAAUGCGUAGAGAUGUGGAGGAACACCAGUGGCGAAGGCGACUCUCUGGUCUGUAACUGACGCUGAGGAGCGAAAGCGUGGGGAGCGAACAGGAUUAGAUACCCCCGUAGUCCCUGUCUCUUAUAA
rnacentral:rRNA from 1 species